ACGACCUUACUUGAACAGGAUCUGUUCUAUAGGCUCGUACCUCUGUAUCCUUGAUUUCUAAGGAGAUGGGAAACCACGUCUGGUGGAUGAACCGUGGCUGCCCAGCUAGAGCGUGAAUAACAGCUCCUCGGUUUAGGUUUCUGGCUUGAGAUGCAGUAGAUGAUCAUUCUUGGCUCGACUCCGGUCCUGUUAGGAUGGCUGGGCAGUUGUUUGACAGACU